UAAAUUAUAAUGUAUCGAUAUUUGAGUUUUUUAAAAUCUGAAAUUCUAAAAUAUAACGCAUUAAUAUCAUAAUAUGUUGUUUAAAAAAAACUUACAAUGAAAAAUAGAAAUAAAGAAAAUGACAGUUUUUAUGGACAAAUAUAUGUUAAAUUUAUGGAAAAAAAACAAAUUUUGAAAAUAACGUAGAGCUACUUUUGCUAGAAACGUAUAACCUAUUAGGUGGAUACAUGGGAAAAGAGCUAUGUUCGCUUUGAA
rnacentral:lncRNA from 1 species